rnacentral:rRNA from 1 species
UAGGGAAUCUUCGGCAAUGGGGGGAACCCUGACCGAGCAACGCCGCGUGAGUGAAGAAGGUUUUCGGAUCGUAAAGCUCUGCUGUUAAGGAAGAACGAGUGUGAGAAUGGAAAGUUCAUGCUGUGACGGUACUUAACCAGAAAGGGACGGCUAACUACGUGCCAGCAGCCGCGGUAAUACGUAGGUCCCGAGCGUUGUCCGGAUUUAUUGGGCGUAAAGCGAGCGCAGGCGGUUAGAAAAGUCUGAAGUGAAAGGCAGUGGCUCAACCAUUGUAGGCUUUGGAAACUGUUUAACUUGAGUGCAGAAGGGGAGAGUGGAAUUCCAUGUGUAGCGGUGAAAUGCGUAGAUAUAUGGAGGAACACCGGUGGCGAAAGCGGCUCUCUGGUCUGUAACUGACGCUGAGGCUCGAAAGCGUGGGGAGCGAACAGG